rnacentral:rRNA from 1 species
UGGCGGCGUGCCUAAUACAUGCAAGUAGAACGCUGAAGAGAGGAGCUUGCUCUUCUUGGAUGAGUUGCGAACGGGUGAGUAACGCGUAGGUAACCUGCCUUGUAGCGGGGGAUAACUAUUGGAAACGAUAGCUAAUACCGCAUAACAAUGGAUGACACAUGUCAUUUAUUUGAAAGGGGCAAAUGCUCCACUACAAGAUGGACCUGCGUUGUAUUAGCUAGUAGGUGAGGUAACGGCUCACCUAGGCGACGAUACAUAGCCGACCUGAGAGGGUGAUCGGCCACACUGGGACUGAGACACGGCCCAGACUCCUACGGGAGGCAGCAGUAGGGAAUCUUCGGCAAUGGGGGCAACCCUGACCGAGCAACGCCGCGUGAGUGAAGAAGGUUUUCGGAUCGUAAAGCUCUGUUGUAAGUCAAGAACAAGUGUGAGAGUGGAAAGUUCACACUGUGACGGUAGCUUACCAGAAAGGGACGGCUAACUACGUGCCAGCAGCCGCGGUAAUACGUAGGUCCCGAGCGUUGUCCGGAUUUAUUGGGCGUAAAGCGAGCGCAGGCGGUUUGAUAAGUCUGAAGUUAAAGGCUGUGGCUCAACCAUAGUUCGCUUUGGAAACUGUCAAACUUGAGUGCAGAAGGGGAGAGUGGAAUUCCAUGUGUAGCGGUGAAAUGCGUAGAUAUAUGGAGGAACACCGGUGGCGAAAGCGGCUCUCUGGUCUGUAACUGACGCUGAGGCUCGAAAGCGUGGGGAGCGAACAGGAUUAGAUACCCUGGUAGUCCACGCCGUAAACGAUGAGUGCUAGGUGUUGGAUCCUUUCCGGGAUUCAGUGCCGCAGCUAACGCAUUAAGCACUCCGCCUGGGGAGUACGACCGCAAGGUUGAAACUCAAAGGAAUUGACGGGGGCCCGCACAAGCGGUGGAGCAUGUGGUUUAAUUCGAAGCAACGCGAAGAACCUUACCAGGUCUUGACAUCCCGAUGCUAUUUCUAGAGAUAGAAAGUUACUUCGGUACAUCGGUGACAGGUGGUGCAUGGUUGUCGUCAGCUCGUGUCGUGAGAUGUUGGGUUAAGUCCCGCAACGAGCGCAACCCCUAUUGUUAGUUGCCAUCAUUCAGUUGGGCACUCUAGCGAGACUGCCGGUAAUAAACCGGAGGAAGGUGGGGAUGACGUCAAAUCAUCAUGCCCCUUAUGACCUGGGCUACACACGUGCUACAAUGGUUGGUACAACGAGUUGCGAGUCGGUGACGGCAAGCUAAUCUCUUAAAGCCAAUCUCAGUUCGGAUUGUAGGCUGCAACUCGCCUACAUGAAGUCGGAAUCGCUAGUAAUCGCGGAUCAGCACGCCGCGGUGAAUACGUUCCCGGGCCUUGUACACACCGCCCGUCACACCACGAGAGUUUGUAACACCCGAAGUCGGUGAGGUAACCUAUUGGAGCCAGCCGCCUAAGGUGGGAUAGAUGAUUG